rnacentral:lncRNA from 1 species
CCUCUUUACAAAUUACGUAUCGAACAUAAAACAUUGAUAAGAGGUCAUUCUUAUAUUUUCACAUUGGAUCAGUGAUGAUGAUUUAGAAGACAUGAACUAAGAGAGUUUGUCAGAAGAUGGAUUUCCGAUCCAUAACACACACACUAAUUGAUGAGACAGAGAACAUGAAAAGUGAGUUAAUUCUUAAACUAAACAUAUGUUAUACAAUAAUGAAAGUAAUAAAUAAUGAAGAGCAUAAUAAAAUGUAUUAUAGCUCAGAGUCAACUUCACAAAGUUAUCUAAAGGAAAAAGUUUUUGUAAAAGAUGCAAAAUGUGGAAUUUUAUGAC